rnacentral:rRNA from 1 species
UACAGAGGUCCCAAGCGUUGUUCGGAUUCACUGGGCUUAAAGCGCGUGUAGGCGGGAGGGCACGUCCGUUGCUGAAAUCCCCCGGCUCAACCGGGGAACGGGCGCGGAUACGACCUUCCUGGAGGGGCGUAGGGGGACCUGGAACUUCCGGUGGAGCGGUGAAAUGCGUUGAGAUCGGAAGGAACGCCCGUGGCGAAAGCGAGGUCCUGGACGCCUACGUGACGCUGAGACGGCGAAAGCCAGGGGAGCGAACGGG